UAUUCUCAUGUGGAAGCGGUUUUGAGUACGGACCCAGUACCAACCCACCCUCCCCCAACUCUAUGUACUUCGUACAUUACUGCCAGCCCCCAUGAAUAUUGUACA
rnacentral:ncRNA from 12 species